UACUUCGCAGAGUUGUAGGCACAGAGAAAGCACUCAUUGACCACUUACUGAACAGAAUGCAAAAAAAUAUUCAAGCGGUAACUUGAAACUUGGCCACUUAUUUAUGAGUGUUGAGUGAAAAAGAUAGGCCAAAGCUAAAUUACCCUAAAUGCAAACCCAGAUGAUGAGUAUGAUGAAGCACAUUCUGAAUGCAGGAAGCCAGGGCUUGUUGAAGAAAGAAGCAGUACAAAGUUUCCCAGCUUCAGACUUCUGCCAGCCUACAGCUGCUUUUCACCAGGCCCCCUGACAUAGCCACGGCUAAGCAGUCUCUGAAGGAUUUCCUGAAAGGUCAUACGAACAUGUCUUCCUCAGUUCACCAACAUGACCUGGGAGCCUGCCACGUGCCAAGCUCUCUGUGAGGCAAAAAGACUGAGCCAGGAGUAACUCAAAGUUCUCAGACGUUCCCCUCUGAGCCUUGUCUUUCUUGUAACAUCCAGCUAACUGAAGGCCUAAGCAUUUUCCAAACUGCCCCAAUCCAAUGGGGACUUCAUGGAGGCUAGCCACUUGGGGCUCUUCACACAGGACCCCUGACUAUCCAGAGAGACCGACUCCUCUGGACUGGGCUGGGUUUUCCUGUGGAGUCCACACAUGCAUCAUGGAGAGAGGCAGGAGACACGUACCUCGCCUGCCUGGUCAGAAGCACACAUUACUACAAGCCUUAUUCUGUUUCUUCCUUCCAGAGUGAAAUCUAAAAUAAAAUAUCAAUCUAAAAUCCUUUUGGAAAAUUCUGUCUAUCCGACUCUAAUAGUCAGAAUAAGAAUAUGAGGUAUAUAGGUCAAGUUAUUUAAAACAGUCAAUUUAUAACAUCCAUAUACUUUAUCAGGCACCCAGAGGAGGAGAAAUUUGUAGGCACCUAAGUGCUGUAGAUAAGGUCAACAUAGGGAGAUAAGGGAAGGACUCAAGUCCACCUUCCCUAGAAAAGGGCCACAGUAAAGAUUGAAGUAACUGUUUCAGUUACUUUUAUAUCCCAAAACCUUGCAAGGAGCCUAAUGCACUUAGUAGCUGUAACAUGGGUGGAUGGAUGGAUAGAUGCAAGGAUGGGAGAAUGAACUGAAAAGCUGAGGCUUGGAGGUAAGCAGUUAGAAACUUUGGAAAAUGGGUGAAAAAGAAAGUCUUCCCAAAGGAUGCACCUGAAAUCCCUUUUUGACUGAUGGAAUGAGAAGAGAGAUAGACAGCUGUGUGCACUGACUCCUCAUCUCCUUAGCAAAUGUCCUGGCUCACCUCGUGCUGGUUUCCCUCCUUCCAGUGACUGUACAGCCCCAAUAAGAUGCUCAAGAGCUGGGAAUUUCUGGGGCCCCACUCCCACUAUCCCAGUGGGAGUCAGACAGGAGAGUACAAGUUGUGUAUACCUGGGCCAAGUACACCCGGAGGUUUGUCCUGAGAAAUACCCUGAAACAAUUCUUAUUUUUUAGCUUGAUAACACCAAUCUUGGAUUUGGGCGAUUUAAUUUUCAUUCCUGGACUGAAGAUGCUUGUCAUCUUGAGGUUUCAUCCAUGUCUCUUUCCAUGUAAACUUCAGGGUGACAAGGCCAUCUCUGUUUGGCAGAGCUAAAAAGUACCCUAUUCUGAAAAGCAGAGGAACUUGAGCAGCUUCCUUUGCCCAAAUGACUCCACAUUCUCUUCUUCAAAGACUCC